AUGCGUCAGCCGCCUGGUUUUGUUGAUCCUGCACGUCCUCAUCAUCUCUGUCGUCUGGUUAAGACGAUGUAUGGACUCAAACAGGCUCCUCGUGCGUGGCAUGCUCGCCUUGGAUCUGUUCUUCGGGCUCUUGGGUUUACUCCCUCCACUACUGACACGUCUCUAUUUCUACUACAGCGUCCUGAGGUUACGAUGUAUCUCCUGGUUUACGUUGAUGACAUCAUUUUCAUCAGUUCCUCCGAUGCUGCUGCUGAUCGUCUUGUGACUGCACUGAGUGGUGAUUUUGCUGUCAAGGAUUUAGGUGCUCUGCAUUUUUCCUUGGUUUGGAGGUUUCACGGUCUUCAGCUGGGUUGA
rnacentral:rRNA from 1 species